GAAAGAAAUUCACUCCCUUUCUGAAUCGGAACCGAGCAGAGUUGAAUCGGAUAGGAAUGAAAAGAUUCUGAUCCUUACUUAAUCCUCUGGAUAAUCCAGUCUAACCAACUGCAGCGUUUUUGUCGCUUAAUCUCACUCUGGAAGAACAGCACGCGCUCCUCGAUCCAGAGAGGAGCCAUGGAGUUGUCGGGUUCCAUCGCCUGCCCCACGGCGGCUCAGGCGCGGCUGCUCCGGCCGCCGGCUGAUCUUCCCUGGCUCGCCUCGCUUCCUCAAAGGCGCAAUGUCCCUGCCUCUUCAGGAUACAUAUCUUGUAGGAGUUUUGCCGUGAGAAGCAAAGUGACCAAGGCGAUGCCUUCACUGAGUGUGAGCAUUCAGCCUGCAUUUCCUCAGCCAGUUACUCGGGCUACAUGGAAGAAGAAACACAAUGUUACAUGCUAUCAGAGACAAGGAGCUCCACAGAUAGAAGCCAAGUCAAUGGAGGAAGUAUAUGAUUCUUUGGCUGAGCACCUUCUUUCUGUCUUCAAGAGUAUCGAUAAUCUUGAUUCAAAAUAUAUUGUUGGUCUGGCUGGCCCACCUGGUGCAGGCAAGUCUACUGUUGCCUCUGAAGUGGUUCGACGCGUCAAUAUGCGUUGGUCUCAGAAGCAUACAAAAGAUAGUUCACUGAAUUCAAAUGAAGAUAUUGCGACAAUGCUUCCCAUGGAUGGUUUCCACCUUUAUCGAUCCCAGCUUGAUGCAAUGGAGGAUCCAAAAGAAGCACAUGCAAGAAGAGGAGCACCAUGGACAUUCAAUCCAUCACUUUUUCUGAAAUGCCUACAGACCCUAAAGGAAGAGGGGUCAGUCUAUGCUCCAUCAUUUGAUCAUGGUGUUGGUGACCCAGUCGAGAAUGACAUAUUUGUAAAGCCGCAGCACAAAAUAGUGAUCGUCGAGGGGAAUUAUUUAUUACUGGAAGAAGAUUUUUGGAGGGAAAUUAGAGACAUGUUCGAUGAGAAAUGGUUCAUUGACAUUGACAUUGAUGUCUCCAUGCAAAGAGUGCUCCAGAGGCAUAUUGGCACAGGGAAAGAGCCAGAUGUAGCAGCAUGGCGGAUUUCAUACAAUGACCGGCCGAAUGCUGAGCUUAUCAUGGAGUCAAAAAAGGCUGCAGAUCUUGUAAUCAGAUCGGUGGACUACUGAAGCUAGACCCCAUGUUUCUGAUGGCAAUUUUGAUUUUCGGUAAUAAUUGUUGCCCUAUGCCGAUGUUUGUACAUAGAAUAAGUCAGCUGGCUGUUUCCAUCCGUGGUGAUUUAGUGCAUAGAAUAAGAUUUCGUACAAUGACCGGCCGAAUGCUGGGCUUAUCAUGGAGUCAAAAAGGACUGCAGAUCUUGUGAUCAGAUCGAUGGACUACUCAAGCUAGACCCCAUGUUUCUGAUGGCAAUUUUGAUUUUCGGUAAUAAUAGUUGCCCUAUGGCGAUGUUUGUACAUAGAAUAAGUCAGCUGGCUGUUUCCAUCCGUGUUGAUUUAGCGCAUAGAAUAAGGUGUGCUCCCAUCAAUUUGUUCUUGAGGAAGAACUCAAUAAAUGACACUCUUCAAGUAUCUAAUCAUUAUAUCAUUUUAUUUUAACAUUCCUAUUUGUAACAUUCCUGUUUGUAUACAGUUCUGAAUCCAUAAAGCUACAGUGAUAAUAAAUGGCUGUAGUUUGCAAAUCUGGAACUUCAGUUCAUGUGUUGAUGGUAAAUUGUUGAUGCAAUAGGUUGUGUAUAAGUUGCAACCUUAAGAGACAAUCUAUCCAGUUAAUCAAAAGAUGAUCCAUGGCUUGGAGGAAACAAUAAGAUAACUGCUUGUUUCCAUCCAUGGUGAUCUGUGUACAUGUAUAAUCUAUUCCUCCACCAGUUUGUUCUUGAUGCACAGUUGAGGAAUAAUCGAAUAAUUUCUGUUUAUUCUACUGAUAAGAGAUAGUCUUGCAGCAUUUAUCUAAUAAUAUUAUUUAUUUCAGCAGUUUUGUUCGCACAGUUCCGAAUCCGUAAAGCUUUGGUCUAAAAUGCCAGCAUGGACGCAAUUCAUGCUCUGAUGGUAAACUGUUGAUGGAUGCUAAACAUCUUGUAUGUUGCAACCUUAAGAGUCAAACUAUCUAUUUGCUCAAAAGACGACCCAUGGCCGGUAAGAAACAAUAAUAUCCAUAGUGACCACUUUUAACUGAGCAAUUUCUUGGUGGAAGCAACACAAGAUUGCCUUGAGAGGAGGACAAUGUGCACUUGAAAAGACUCAAGGCUGGCAUCAUUACCAGGGGACAUGAUCUCCAAAGGGAAAUAUGUUUUGCUUAAUCUAACAUGCAAAGUCACCUUUAGUUGGGGGAGAUACUCAUGGCUAGGAAGGUACAGCUGAAAGUUCCCAGAAAUCAUGGCAACACCCUCCAGCACUUCAUGUUUUUCUUUUGUUGGCCUUCUCUAGAAAACAGGGAAAGGACAGCUCAACUUUGUCCAACCCUGCACCCUUUAUCAUGACACAGGGCACAAUGCACCAAACAAUGGCAUGUAUAAUAAUAGUACAUGACAGCAAAAGAUGCAGCAAAGUGUGAUGCCUCAUAAUACUGGUGAGAGCUAGUGAUUGGCAUAUGAAAAUCAAGUGUGCACAUGGGAUGCCUCUGUGCAUCCCUCCCCUCCCAGUUGGCUCCAAGUCUAAAGAAACAUGGACAGCCAAGUUGACACACACAUUGUUUUGUAUGUCGACAAUGCACCACAGAACAAAGCAUCUCUAUUCUACCAUCGAAUCCUCUCAUGAUUCUUCAGUGGAACACCAUUAUAAGUUCACAACACCAGAAUGAAUCAUGUCAAAAGGAAGCACAAUGCAAACUCAUAACACAAUACAAUUAACAUUUAACACCUUGCAAUAAAUAUUUGUUUUGUUGAUACACCAUGCUGAUAAUUAAACAACUUUUGAUGGACAAACUGCAAGAGGAAAAAUAGGGCGCCUUUGCAUUUUGUGCCAAGAAGAGACAUAAGAAGAGAGGGAAAAAAAAAGGAAGAACAAGCAGAGCAAAAAAGAGAA